rnacentral:tRNA from 1 species
AGGCUCGUGGCGCAGCUUGGAUAGCGCACUUGACUUCUAAUUAAGGGGUCGUGGGUUCAAAUCCCACCGGGCCUGCCA